rnacentral:rRNA from 1 species
GUGUCAGCCGCCGCGGUAAUACGGAGGGUGCGAGCGUUAAUCGGAAUUACUGGGCGUAAAGAGUGCGUAGGCGGUUAUUUAAGUCAGAUGUGAAAGCCCCGGGCUUAACCUGGGAACGGCAUUUGAUACUGGGUAACUCGAGUUUGGGAGAGGCAAGUGGAAUUUCAGGUGUAGCGGUGAAAUGCGUAGAGAUCUGAAGGAACACCAGUGGCGAAGGCGACUUGCUGGCCUAAAACUGACGCUGAGGCACGAAAGCAUGGGUAGCAAACAGGAUUAGAAACCCUCGUAGUCC